CAGUCGCCGCGGUAAUACGAAGGGUGCAAGCGUUACUCGGAAUUACUGGGCGUAAAGCGUGCGUAGGUGGUGGUUUAAGUCCGUUGUGAAAGCCCUGGGCUCAACCUGGGAAUUGCAGUGGAUACUGGGUCACUAGAGUGUGGUAGAGGAUAGUGGAAUUUCCGGUGGAGCGGUGAAAUGCGUCGAGAUCGGAAAGAACACCAACGGCGAAAGCACUCUGCUGGGCCGACACUGACACUGAGAGACGAAAGCUAGGGGAGCAAAUGGGAUUAGAGACCCCGGUAGUCCCUGUCUCUUAUAA
rnacentral:rRNA from 1 species